CGCAGAUAGCGGAACUUCAGAACAGAUCGAGAAGAUAAGUUUGGAAAAGUAGAAAAUAAAGAUAAACUAAAGCGGGAAAUCCUUGCCGAAGGAGAGAGGAACAUUUUUGCCGAAUAACGCCCGUGUUAAUUUUAUCCAAACAUUGCGCGCAUUUAGGAUAUUCUGACUGGUUUUUUUAGUGUAAUCCUCAGGCUGAAUUGUUGCUGCUCAAGUCAUCAUCAAUCUACUGCUGAUUAACUAAUCAACUAAUGUCAUCUUUGACAUCUUCAUCAUCAGCGAAACCACUGUGUGGACGAUUCCAUAUGAAAGAAAGGAAGAAGGGGUAGUAUGAACUUCAGUGCACUCAUGAAAAAACAGGAAAACAAACAAGAGGCCUUAAUUCAUUCUGAUCACGUUUAUUAUAAUUUUUUGGACUCUUAAGUGUUGCAUUUUGUAAUAUUUUGUUUAUAGAUCUCAGUUUUAUUUCAAAUUAAAAUUUUGAGAAUUUUGUUUUGUUGCGCACAACAACAAAGGCGAAGUGGAACACGGUAAAAGCUGAUAACCACCACAAUUUAUUUUUGCAUACUUUCAAAGUUUCUCAAGACACAUUGGGCACAUACUAGUCUGAUACCUGCUUAUUAUUAAUCUAAAAUGAGAUUAAAGUUAUCUAGCUUUAAAUAGUUUUUUCUGAUUUCUUCACCAAAUGUGGAUGGCGGUUUGUUAUCUACCUGGGUUUCUUACUCUGCACCCAAGGUACAUUUCUGAAAUUUGAGUUAAAAUGUGUGUUUAAACAGGAAGCUGUGCAAAUGAUGGGGGAGAUGGACUCAAUCAAUUUGAUUGAAAACCUUUGUCCUGGGAGAGUCAUUUCCUUCUUGUGGCAAAAAAAGUGACAAUUCCAGUGUGCAUUCAGAAUAUGUAUGGUUGCAAUAAACUUCAUUCAAUUUAGGUUCAGGUAAAAUGUUGUACUAUGGUACUGGUUGUGUUUAAAGUGACACUGGAUAGCACACUUUUCUUGUAUGUUUUGUGUGGUACUGAAAACAAGUAUAACACAAAACCUCUCAUGGAGACACAUUCUUAUGGCCAAAUUGUCUUGAUUAUUACUUUUCAACAAACACACUUUGGGUACAUGUAGUGGAGCAUAGAAUUAGAAGUGGGCACCCCACCUUUGGUACCCCCACCAGUCUUUGUUCAAUAUAAAUUCAGUUCCUUCACAAUUCACUCCAAUGAUUAUUUCUUAUUUUGCUGUGUUGAAAAGUCAAAUUAAAGUAUAUUUACAUGG